rnacentral:lncRNA from 1 species
AUAUAUGUAAAUUAUUUAAGAAAUAUCGUACGAAAAAAAAUUAUAUUAUUGAUCAAAUUAAUAUAUUUGGCCCUUAAAAAAAUUCAAAAACUUUUUUGUUAAUUACAUAAUUUGUUUACUAAUGAACUGAUCUCAUUUUUAAAAAUAUUUUAGGUCAAAAAAUUAUUUAUCGCAUAAAAACCUAACAUUUAGGUCGAAGAAUCUCAUGCCUACUAUUUGGUUACAAUGAAACUAUGUCAACUCGGUUUUAUAUCAUGAUUUAGCAAUUUAAAAGUUACUUAUGGUUAUGAGAAAUUUACGUUCACGUGCCAAUCCUAUUUAUCUUUGAUAUUUUUCUCCUUUUUGUGUCAUUUUAGUUAUUGCUCGAUAUAAAUAUUGAUUUUUGAGUUUAUUUUCAUUUCUUUCUUUUAUUAUGGCAUGGGAUUUAGAAAAUGUUUAAGAUUCAAAAUUAUUAAAGAGAUACAUAAUUAGGUUAAGAUCUGCGUCUUGUGCAGAAUAAAUACUUAUUUUAUAUUUUUCUGCAUAAUACGAAAUAAUAAAAUAAUAAUUAUAUAUUAAAUAACUAAGAAAUCAGUUACUAUUAUGUAAUAAAUUUGCUUGCACAUAUAAAUCAAAUGACCGCUCUUGUUUAUUCGCAACUAUUUUAGAAUAAAUAAUUCAAAUUAGUCAAUCUUAUCUAUCGUAUAUGAUAAAUAAUUAAAUUUAAACGAUAUGAAGUAUAUAUAUAUAUAUAUAUUAACAUAAAGACCUAUUAAAAUAAAAUUAUUUUAUGAUUUUAUUAUCAUUGUAUCUUAUUAUAGAAAAAAAUGUAAACAUUGAUCACAAAAGUUUAUGUGAGACUUUUAACAGUUUUAGUAAUUUAUACUCGUUUUGAAAAAUUCAAAAUACAACAUAUACAAAAAAUCUUAAUUUUUAAAAUACGAUUAAUGUAGUUGUGUAAUUUAUUUUAAAGGUAAGAAUUAAACAAAAAUGAUAGAAAGCAUACAGAUUAUUAGCAAAUCUUCAUUAUUUAAAAUCAUUAAUUACUAUAUAUAUCAUAAUCACAUUAGGUAAUUAUGUAGGUUUUAUUUUAGGAAAUAAUAUAUAAUAAAUAGCCACCUUGCUUUAUUUAAUAUCAUAUGAUAUCAUAUAGUUGGUCUUAAAUAUUUCUAGUGAGAUAUAAAAAUCGAAUUGAACAAACAUGUUUUUCAAUUUUAGUGUGAGGCUGACACAUAUGAUUAAUUAACUACCUAAUUGAUUGACACAUAAGCAAGGAGUCUUUUUUAAUUAUUACAAAAUUGAGGUUGCAUCUUUUCAAAUGUUCCUCAAUUAAUAUAUAGGGGAUAAGUUUCACCAAAAAACUGUUAAGAUCCAAAAUGUUGCUACAUCAUUAGAAUAAUGAAAAAUCUAUAUACCAUUAGUUCUAUUCUUCUGAGAAUAAAAUAAAUAAAUUAAUUUUAUACAAAGAAAAUUAAAUUUUGGACAGUAAAUUUAUGAAACAUAAUCCAAUUAGGACUAUACUAAUAGUUAUGAAAAGUGACAUAAUUAUCAAAACAAUAUUAUAAAAUUUAUUUAAUUUUUAAAUAAAUCAUUAUUAAAAUAAUGAUAUGUUAACUAACUAUUUUAGAAUAUAAAUGAAAAUUAUUUAACUUUUAUUUUGAAGAAAAUAAUGAAAACAUUAUAUUUUUAUUUAGUCAAUAUUUAUCUUUAUAAAAUGUUAUAGUUACUAAAUAAUUUAUUCUACAAGUUAACAUCCAAUUUUGUUUUUUUUUUUUAAUGUUGAUUUAUUUUUUGCCAAAAAAAUCAUCAACUUUAAUAGCCAUUUUAGUUAUAGUGUUAGUCAACGAUUGACUAACGAUAGCACUAAAAUGAUGUGAUCAACGAAAGUUUAUGAUUAAAUGGUUUGUCGAUAAAUUUAAGUGUUUUUUAUGAAAAAGUUUGUGUUUUAUUUCAAUCACAUUUAAAAGUUGAUGAUUUAAAUGAUAUUUUCCUUUUUAAGUUUCGGUACUAGUGUGUUUAUAUUUGAAAAAGUAAUAUAAAUUAAUUUUGAUGGCUUUACUUCUGCAACACCUUCAACAAUCUUUCUCCAUCUUCCUAUAGCUUGUUGAAUCUGAGUUGAGUUUUGUUGGAUUCGAAUAAGAGAAUACAAAACUUGAUUGUGUUUAUUUCGAAGCUGUUUUAUUAAUCAGAAAAGAGUGAGAUUACAGAAUGUAUAAAUAAGAGGAAAAACUAGCCAGCGCUCGUUAGAGUUGGCUGGAAAAAUACAAGUCGGCGAGAAGAGUAAAGUGUAAAACCAUAAUUUUUAGCCGUCAGUCUCUGUUGAAUUCAAAUUUGGAUCCUUUCCUUGGUAGCCCUUUUUUAUCUUUUUAUAAGUGAACCUCAUAUCCCCUUUGUCCUAUGUCGGUUUGCCUUAGCCAGGCUAAGCUUAACGGACCAAGCAAAUGGGCUGAGAAUUUGGGCUAAUGAGCCGAGAUCAUGUGCCGAGCUCGUAGCGCUGAGUAAAGUUAGGCUGUUUAGCUGAGGACUAGUGUCGAGCUGAUGACGCAGAAUGGUGUUUAGGAACUAUACAUUUUUUUGGAUCAGAUCGGUUUGGAUAAUGUUGUGUUCGAGUCGAACUUUUAUUUUUUUUCAUAAAAUUCGAAGUGAACCAAAUUAGAAAUAGUUUAGGUUAAUUCGGGUUCAAAGCCAAAAAAUCUAAAAAGGCCGAAAAUCCCAAGUUUAAUCCGAAAAAACAGGUCAUUAAUAUAUUCGGGGUAUGAAUAUUUUAUUUAUAACUUAUAUUAUAUAUAAAUUAAUAUUUUAAGUAUUCUGGUGGCCGUUCGAUUUUUGGUUCGAUUUUAAUGUUUUGAAUUUAGAAAAAUAAGAAUCGUUCGAGUUUUUGUAAAUUUCUGUCAAGUUUUUGUUUAGCUUCAGUUUAUUUUUCUGGUUUCAGAUAAUAUGUCCACAACUAAUGUCUCAUUAGUUUCUUAUCCUUGUUUAAUCUCUAUCUCUAAAACAUGAUCAUUUUUUGUUAUUAUCCUUAGAAUACCUAAUAAUAUUCAGAAUAUUAAACUCAUAUUUUUAUGUUUUUCAAAUAAAAUAACCCUGAACUUAAAAUCUAAAUAUUGAAAUAGUAACAAUGAAAAUACCUAUAUAUGGCUAAGUCUCUCUCUCUUUAAGCAUAACUAGAUUCUGACCAGCGCGGUUGCGAGGGAUUAUUUAUAAUUUAUGUUUUUAGAUUACAAUUUUAUGAUUUAAUGACAUUUUACAAACUUUACUGCCAAAUUGCAUUUUUUGUUUUCGGUUUGAUUCCAGUUUAGUUGCAAUGUUUGAAUUCCAUUUUAAAAAGUAACCGUUCUGUUAUUUAUAAAUUUGGCUUUGGUUUGGGUUGGUUAUUUUAGUUUUUGGUUUGGUUCAAAUAACAGUCUUAAGAACCUGAUAAAAUUUCAAGUUGAGUUUGAGUGUCUCGGUAUGAAUAGGGAUAUGUAAUUUUCGAGUCGAUUAUGAUUUAGGUAGCUAUAUUUCCGUUUUUUUUCUUUGUUUUUUAUUUUAUUUUAUUUUAUUUUAUUGAAUAGUUUUAUACUUUAAAUAUGUUUAGAAAUUCUUUAUACUUCAAGAUUAUAUACCAAGUCAGAAUAUAUAUAUAUAUAUAUUAAUUACGUACAUAUAUCUUUUAAAGGUAAUAUGUAUAUUCUACAGUUGUGAUCAAAAUAAACCCAUAUCAUUUUGAAACAUUAAAUAUUUUUAUUCUAAAUAAGGAUUAAGUAGCUAUAUUCAAAAAAAAAUUAUAAAAAAUUUUGGAUCUGAAACUAUAAAAAAAAUUUCUUUUAUUUAUUUUUGUUUGUUUAUUUAAUUUUAAAUCAAGGGUAUUAGGGAUAUUUUACUCUUUAAUGAAUGUCAUUUUUGUGACUUUCUCCUUCUAGUUCCAUUUUUGAGACAAAAACUCUAAAGGUGCUAUUAUUGACAAUUGCCCUUUAAAUAAAUGUGUACAAAAUUCCUUCUGAAUUUUAAUGAAAAACUAGGAUAAGACUUGCGCCUUGCACAGAGUAAAUAUAUAUAUAAAUUAUUUAAGAAAUAUCGUAUGAAAAAAAAAUUAUAUUAUUGAUCAAAUUAAUAUAUUUGGCCCUUAAAAAAAUUAAAAAACUUUUUUGUUAAUUACAUAAUUUGUUUACUAAUGAACUGAUCUCAUUUUUAAAAAUAUUUUAGGUCAAAAAAUUACUUAUCGCAUAAAAACCUAACAUUUAGGUCGAAGAAUCUCAUGCCUACUAUUUGGUUACAAUGAAACUAUGUCAACUCGGUUUUAUAUCAUGAUUUAGCAAUUUAAAAGUUACUUAUGGUUAUGAGAAAUUUACGUUCACGUGCCAAUCCUAUUUAUCUUCGAUAUUUUUCACCUUUUUGUGUCAUUUUAGUUAUUGCUCGAUAUAAAUAUUGAUUUUUGAGUUUAUUUUCAUUUCUUUCUUUUAUUAUGGCAUGAUAUUUAGAAAAUGUUUAAGAUUCAAAAUUAUUAAAGAGAUACAUAAUUAGGUUAAGAUCUGCGUCUUGUGCAGAAUAAAUACUUAUUUUAUAUUUUUUCUGCAUAAUACGAAAUAAUAAAAUAAUAAUUAUAUAUUAAAUAACUAAUAAAUCAGUUACUAUUAUGUAAUAAAUUGGCUUGCACAUAUAAAUCAAAUCACCGCUCUUGUUUAUUCGCAACC